CGGCCAGAGCCUAAAGCUUUGCUGCUGGGCAGUUCGCUGGAGGGACUGCUGCUUGGAACACUUGGAGUCUCCGCGGGCAGGUGAGCUUCAGAGGUUCGGGGAGCUUCCGGAACGAGCAUUCCUGGCCGAUCUCAUAUUUUGGAUUCUGGAUAUAUUAUAAUGAGUGACACUUUGACAGCGGAUGUCAUUGGUCAAAGAGUUGAAGUUAAUGGAGAACAUGCAACAGUACGUUUUGCUGGUGUUGUCCCUCCCGUGGCAGGACCCUGGUUAGGAGUAGAAUGGGACAAUCCCGAGAGAGGAAAGCAUGAUGGGAGCCACGAAGGGACUGUGUAUUUUCAAUGCAGGCACCCAACAGGAGGAUCCUUUAUUCGUCCAAACAAGGUAAAUUUUGGAACAGACUUUCUUACUGCAAUUAAGAACCGCUAUGUGUUAGAAGAUGGACCAGAGGAAGAUAGAAAAGAGCAAAUUGUUACAAUUGGAAAUAAACCUGUGGAGACUAUCGGUUUUGACUCUAUUAUGAAACAGCAAAGGGCCAGUGGAUAGCAUACGUGCUUAUGUAUCCCUGUGAACUCUGUUUUUCAUGCAGUCAGCUGAGCAAGUUGCAAGAAGUUUCUCUGAGGAACUGUGCAGUAAGUUGUGCUGGUGAAAAAGGAGGAGUUGCCGAAGGAUGUCCUAAUAUUAGAAAGGUAGAUUUGUCAAAAAACCUGUUGUCAUCAUGGGAUGAAGUGAUACACAUUGCUGAUCAGCUCAGACACCUGGAAGUCCUUAAUGUCAGUGAAAAUAAACUAAAAUUUCCCUCCGGUUCAGUAUUAACUGGAACGCUUUCUGCACUGAAGGUUUUAGUCCUCAAUCAAACAGGAAUAACGUGGGCUGAGGUGCUGCGGUGUGCCAUGGGAUGCCCAGGCCUGGAGGAACUCUACCUUGAGUCUAACAAUAUUUUCAUUUCCGAAAGGCCAACAGAUGUUCUCCAGACAGUCAAGUUAUUAGACCUUUCCUCUAAUCAAUUAAUUGAUGAAAAUCAGCUGUAUCUGAUAGCCCACCUGCCCAGGU
rnacentral:sRNA from 1 species